GACGAACGCUGGCGGCGUGCCUAAUACAUGCAAGUAUAACGCAGUUGCGAACGGUUGAGUAACGCGUAGGUAACUGCCUCAUAGCGGGGGAUAACUAUUUGAAACGCUAUCUAAUACCGCAUACUGUGAGAUGGACCUGUGUUGUAUUAGCUAGUUGGUGAGGUAAAGGCUCACCAAGGCGACGAUACAUGGCCGACCUGAGAGGGUGAUCGGCAAUGCUGGGGCUGAGACAGGGCACAGAAUCCUACGGGAGGCAGCAGUAGGGAAUCUUCGGCAAGGGAAGGAAGUUUGAACGAGCAAAGCCGCGGGAGUGAAGAAGGUUUUAGGAUAGUAAAGCCAUGAUGUGAGAGAAGCGGUAACUAACCAGAAAGGGACGGCUAACUACGUGCAAGCAGCCGCGGUAAUAC
rnacentral:rRNA from 1 species